GCUGCAUAUGAUUUGAAAAGCUUAUGCUCUCACACUAAUCGUCAUCUGAGUUCAGAAGCUAAGCACAGCCAGGACUGGUUAAUACUUAAAUGGGAGGCUGCCAGGGAAUACUAGUGAUCUGCAGAA
rnacentral:rRNA from 1 species